rnacentral:lncRNA from 1 species
UCAGGUAUUGGGUAUCAUAGAGUUCUCACACAGGACAGGCUUGUUGGCUCCUCUUCUCAGUGUACAUGAUAAGGAUAUAUAUUUAUUUUAGAAAAACACUUAGCCAGAAGGAACACAACAUGUAGUGAGAGAUAAAUUAUGCAGAUAAUGUUCUAUUAUGCACACAGAGUAAAAAGUACAAGGGACAUGAAUUUCCCCAGGGAGACACCUCUGCAAGAGGAGGCUGGGACAACACAGAAAAUAAAAUAUGAAGAAGAAGAAAAUGAAUUGGAUGUAGUCAGUUAUGGCAUAUUUUGCUUGAAGGAGGAGGAAGACUGAAUGAGCAAAAAAUUUUACUGGGGGGGCAAUUCCUUCUAAAGAAGUGACUGUAUAUUGGCUGUGUCACUUAAUCAAGGUCACUGCUCUAACACAUGAGGACAGGGCUUUGACCCUGCAGGUAUUUAUGAGGCUAGGAGUGGGUGACUGGAAAGUGCGAAAGGAAUCAAUACAGAAAACAACAGGCAGCAUCUCUUCUAUCCAGCCUUUCCCUUUGCUCUGAGACAGGGAACACAACGGCUUUUUCAGCUCUAGUCUGUGGUACAUGGCCCAUUGAGGUCUGGCACUAUCCAUUCCUGUGGAUUGUGCAGCAAUGCAAGAUCACCUCCAGCAGACAAAGCAGCCACUGGUCGUAUCAGACACGGGCACAAAAGCCCUUCCUAGGAUGGAGUAAUAAUUGUACUUGAGCAGCAGAACAUGGAGAGAGUCUGAGUGGGCAAUAGCACUUCAUCAAGAACAACAAGAAGAUGGCAAGAAGAUGUUUCUCUGAAGUCCCUCUUGGUUCACCCCCAGAGCCGUACCUUGUAACAGCAGGUCUCAAAACCAACAUUUUGAAUCUGUCCCUGCUGCUGCUUGCACUGAUGCUCAGUUCCAUUGCGCCAAUCUGUCUGACACAUUUGUGCUUCUCCUUCACAGUGCAGCAGGCUCAAUUGUGCUUAAGUGGGCUAACUAAGGGAAUAAGAAAGGCAUUAGUCACAACUGGAGACUGGACUAAUUUGCUGAAGUUGGACAGGGAAUUCUGUCUCCUGGAGACCUGGCUGAUGUGAUCAGAAGAACUCACAAAUGGUAUUGAACCAAAGAUUCAUUCAGGGAUGACAUUACUGUAUUGCUUCCCAUCUGCUGUCGCUGAGGUCACCGUUCUGGCACAGAGCAGAACAGCUGCAGAGAUCAAGUGAUGGCCCUGCUAUUGCUUCCUGGAGGGAUGAACAUGGAAAUAAAAGUCAGGAAAAGGAAAUUGCCA